UACGGGGGGGGCAAGCGUUGUUCGGAAUUACUGGGCGUAAAGGGCUCGUAGGCGGCCAACUAAGUCGGACGUGAAAUCCCCAGGCUCAACCUGGGAACUGCGUCCGAUACUGGAUGGCUUGAAUCCGGGAGAGGGAUGCAGAAUUCCAGGUGUAGCGGUGAAAUGCGUAGAGAUGUGGAGGAACACCAAUGGCGAAGGCAGCCUCCUGGGCCAACACUGACGCUCAUGCACGAAAGCGUGGGGAGCAAACAGG
rnacentral:rRNA from 1 species